GCAGGUGGACUCCCAACCACUGCGCCACCAGGGAAGCCCCAGAUAUCUUUUUGAUGCCUCUCAUUGUUUCCUUAGGAUGUAUUUUAAGAAAUAGAAUCAUGAAGCUUAGAAGCAUCCACUGAUAGUUAUGCGUCUCCCAAAAGGUUUCAUUCCUUCAUUCUGCCAAUAUUUAUUGAACACUUGCUCUGUGCCGGGCGCUGUUCCGGGUGCUGAGGACGUGGUGGUGAGCUCCCUGGGAAGCAUGGCGUUUCCCAUCCGAGCUUGUGACAGUGGGCCGUGACUGGGGAGGCCACGGCAUCUGCCUUGUGUUGAUCCGGUUACAUCGGAGAUCCUGGAAAGGUGCCACCUGAGAAGCCAGGAAUAGAGGAAGAAAGCAAGACAGAAACGAGGAAAAAUUAUAAGGGUAAAAGCAGAAGUUAAUGAAGCAGAAAUCGAAGAAAUAGCAGACAGUAAAAUCAGAGUCUGACUCUGAAGAGAUGGGUGAAACAAACAUUGGAGAGGGCUGCCGUGUCAUGAAGAGACACACAAAGUGUGAUUUGCCACAGGUUGGGGAGGAGGCGGUGAGGGGUGAGCUCAGAACUGCCCACGUCCCCUGGUUCAGCUCUUCUCAUCUGGGUGGACUCAGGAGGCACCUCCUCCAGGAAGCCCUCUUUGACUCCUCCUUGCUGAGGAUGGUCUUCAAGAGCCUGCCACUGCUGGUGCAGCCCCUUGUACCUGGUCCUUCGGUGGUGCUCACCCGUCGUCUUGCUGUGACCACCAUCUCUGUCCUGUUCAAGCUCUAACAGUAACCUCCUUCGUGGAAGAACUAUGCCUUUUUCCCUGUUGCGUUUUCUGUCUGAGGCCUGGUAUACAGAAGGUGCUCAAUAAAUGAUCAAAGCUC